rnacentral:lncRNA from 1 species
CAAAGAAAGCUAGGAAUUAAAUUCCUUCUGUGGGAAGACAGUUUAUUGUGUUUUUAUAUCUUGUUCUGAGUAACCUUUAUUCCAUGAGAAGAAAAGAAAUUCUGAAGGCUUUCUGAGUUAGUGUAUGAGUUACAGUGACUAUUCUCUGGAAGACUGUCUCAACACAAAAAAAAUGAAAGCUCCUAUCCAAUUAAAAUGUAAAUUUUUGUCACUUUUUAAAUAUACUACAAAGAUAAUAGGAAAAAAAAAAUCUUCUUUUACUUCCACAGCUAAAUUUUUGGAGAGACAAAAGUUAUGAUGUGAAUAAGCAAACAAAGUUCUGAAAUCUCUGUAAUUCCUUUGUUGUGGAUAGUCAGCUGCAGAUAUUUCCUGACAUAUCUUCUCUCUCCAGAUGUUAGCACAGCUGGAAAUGCUCUAAGACCAGUUUUCUUUGCAGCAGUUUUACAGAUAGAGACACAGAAUUUAGAGAAAAAAGAAAAUUGAAGAAAAGAUCUUUGGGAACACAAUCAAAGGUUCGCUCCACAAUGUUUGACAGGAAUCAGACAAGCAGGGUCAUGGGCUGCAGACACAUUGAGGAGCAGCUGAGGUGCUUCUUCUGGCCAAGUGAUAAUGACAAAGAGCAGUCCCAGGUCUGUGGGAAGCAGCUGUCCAAGCAGGAAAUGUGUGCCCUAACUGCAGCCUCCUGUGUUGCAUUGGCACAUUAUGCUGCUUGGGCUGUCCAGCCAGGAAGAGGAAAUAAUGUGGCUUCUUGAUGAGCUGCAAAUCCUAUCAGCUAAUAUCUGAUGAACUGCUGAGAGUUUUCUGUAAUGAGUCAAUAUGAAGCAUUUGUGCCAGUUGAGAUCUGCCUGCAUAAUUUAAUAGCUAUUUGUAUAAGUACUGGUUAGCACAAAGAUUGGGCCCAGAUGACAUGACAGUAAAGUUAAAUACAUAUAUGAUCCCUUAAAAUUGUAAUAAAUACUUCCAUAAAAUUUUUGUCCA